ACCUACUAAAUGCUGGUUAUCUUCCACAAACCUCCAAGAAUAGCAAUCAGAAAAGACCUUUUUUACCCAAAGCAUACAAUUAACGAGGUCUGAUCUGUAAACAAGACGGGGCAGCAGCUAGAGGCACAGACAAUGAUGAGCUAAAGGAUGAUGCUAUUUCAGUAAAGACACUAGGCCUACGGUCACCCAGUGUCCGCCGCUUGCCUCUGCAUCAGGCUCUGCAACGCACAGCAAAGUCGCGUGGGGGUCAUGGCAGGCACGGUCACGGUCAUGUGGGGCAAUUGCAGUAAGGAACGCGACACAGGAAAUGAAAAGGGAAGCCUGAAGAAAUGAAGUCGUGGCCAGUCACACAGGCAAGUUAAUGGACAGGACCAGCAAUUUGUAUCAAUUCAUUGUGUGAAAUUGCUCCUGAAAUACGUCCAUGGUCCUCACAAAUGCUGAAUGUGACGUCUCUUGGUGUUUCUGUUCUCGCCGUCAACAAAACGUGCACAAGCCGGUCCCCUCGUUAAUUCAGGGGCUGUCCCCGCAACGGCAGGAAGGAGUCUUGUGUUGAACCUAACUUCUGGUUUCCAGGGACCUGUCCCCAGAACAGUGACUUCGACAUCAGAGCCAAUGCAAUGGACGGCUCUCCUAAAAGCUAAUGCCCCCAGGGUCCUGCCCUCGGCUCACAGGUACCUCAGCUUCCGUGGCCUCCUUAGGGGAGCUCCCCAAAUUCAUGGCUUAACGGCCCAGAUCUGCAGACCCCAGGCCCAGCACCGGCAGCGGGGACCCACCGUCCCAGCAGAGAUGACCCCUCCCUCCCACAGGACGGGCCGAGCAGCCUGGCACCCGCCUUUCCCCCAUAUUCAACCAUACCCGCCACGUACAGCACCACGUCCCAGCGUCCGAGUUCUCACUGUCGCCCAGCACACCAGGCUCCCGGUGGGCUGUUCCUGUGGCUCUCCAGGGCUCCUCACGGGCACGGAGGACCUGUGCUCCCUGAAUUCACACGCUGAGAUCCUAGCCGCCCAGCUUAGCUCACCGAGCACCAUGUCUUCACAACUCCACGUGUGGC